GCAAGUCAGGGGCAGCACAAGGAGCAAUCUGAGGUGGCGACCGGCGCACGGUGAGUAACACGUAUGCAACCUGCCUGUAAGCGGGGAAUAACCCGUUGAAAGACGGACUAAUACCGCAUAAUACUAAAUUACUGCAUGGUAAUUUAUUUAAACAUUUAUGGCUUACAGAUGGGCAUGCGCAUGAUUAGCUAGUUGGAGAGGUAACGGCUCCCCAAGGCAACGAUCAUUAGGGGUUCUGAGAGGAAGGUCCCCCACACUGGUACUGAGACACGGACCAGACUCCUACGGGAGGCAGCAGUGAGGAAUAUUGGUCAAUGGACGAGAGUCUGAACCAGCCAAGUCGCGUGCAGGAAGAAUGUCCUAAUGGAUUGUAAACUGCUUUUGCAGGGGAAUAAAGUGCAUCACGUGUGAUGUUUUGUAUGUACUCUGCGAAUAAGGAUCGGCUAACUCCGUGCCAGCAGCAGC
rnacentral:rRNA from 1 species